GACGAACGCUGGCGGCGUGCUUAACACAUGCAAGUCGAACGGAAAGGCCCUGCUUUUGUGGUACUCUAGUGGGGAACGGGGGAGUAACACACGUGUGUACUGCCCUCCUCUUCGUGAUAAACUUUGGAAGCAGGGUGGAUUACAGGAUAGAAAACAUCUUGAUUCAGGGGGUUGGAUAGUUUUUUCGGGGUAGGAUGAGGUCGCGGGCUAUCAGCUCGUUGGUGGGGUGAUGGCCUACCAAGGCGGCGACGGGUAGCCGGCCUGCGAGGGUGUACGGCCACAUUGGGACUGAGAGACGGCACAGACUCGGACGGGAGGCAGCAGUGGGGAAGAUUGAACAAGGGGCGCAAGGCUGAUGAAGCGAGGCUGCGUGGGGGAUGAAGGCCUUCGGGCUGUAAAAUCAUUUCGCUAGGGACGAAGCUUUUUGUGACGGUACCUAGAUAGGAAGCAACGGCUAACUACGUG
rnacentral:rRNA from 1 species